AUACGGAGGGUGCAAGCGUUAAUCGGAAUUACUGGGCGUAAAGCGUACGUAGGCGGUUCGUUAAGUUAGAUGUGAAAGCCCCGGGCUUAACCUGGGAACUGCAUUUAAAACUGGCGAACUAGAGUUGAGUAGAGGGGAGUGGAAUUUCAGGUGUAGCGGUGAAAUGCGUAGAGAUCUAAAGGAACACCAGUGGCGAAGGCGGCUCCCUGGACUCAAACUGACGCUGAGGUACGAAAGCGUGGGUAGCAAACGGGAUUAGAUACCCUAGUAGUCC
rnacentral:rRNA from 1 species